UAGGCCUAAACUUGAAAUCUUGAAAAACCAAGGUACUACCAGUAAUUUGCUCGUGAUCGAUAAGCCAUCAAUUUCUCUCUCCAUGUACGAGUUCGUAAAUUUCAGUCCUGCUCUGAAGUUAACUUGUAUUUAAAAAAUGGCGUCAAGAGGGUUACUUUCAAGGGCGAGCAGAAUCAAAUCGAAGCUUCAAUCGGCGCUGGAAGCAACCGUCGUUGAGGUGGAAGACGUUUCAUACCAGCACGCCGGCCACGCAGCCGUCAAAGACAGCGGCGCAAGCGAGACCCAUUUCAAUGUCAAAAUCGUUUCUAGCAAAUUUGACGGCCAGAACCUAGUCAAACGACACCGUAUGGUCUAUGAUCUCUUAUCCGACGAGCUUCAGUCUGGUUUGCAUGCUCUCUCUAUCAAGGCAAAUACUCCCAGAGAAGCUGGUCUGAGCAAUUGAUCAUUCAGCAGCUUCUGAAUAAAGGAAGUAUCAGUACUGGGGAUUGUAUGCAAUGCGGUUGGAUUUAGAACUAACGGCAGCUACCACCUUUUCUGUUUGAACGUUGAGAACUUGGUUUAAUUCCUUAUAUUCAGUUUUAUUGAAUAUUCCCUCCCUGUAGUCCUCCUCCUCUUCCCAAGUGCAUCAAUUUCCACGAUGAACUGGACAGAAGAAUUACACAAACUCAACAUAGUGUUCUACAGGCUUAAACUGAAUUUGUGAUUAACUUUGAAAAUUUGGCAGACAGAAACUUUUCUUCAUGUGAUAAUUGAUCAGCAUAUUUUGGUGCCA